UCCUUCUUUCAAACACAACUUGAUUUCUGUCCACAAGUUAGUAAAACAGUUGCAUUGCAUAGUAUUGUUCACUGCAACUUCCUGUUUCCUUCACUUGUUACAGGCCCCUUCUCUGAGGAUGCCUCUGGAUCAUCGUAAAGAGGAGGCUGGUCUGUACAAGCUUGCUUGGGUGCCACUUUCAUCUUCUUCUAAUUGUUGUUCUUCCGUUUCUGAAUGUUCUUCUUCUUCUGUUUCUUGUAAACCUGAGCAUUCUAGUCAUCAAGCUGUUAGUUUUCCUUUGAACGUAAACAGUUCCAUGUGUAAUAAUACUGUUGCCAC
rnacentral:lncRNA from 1 species